rfam:TPA: Bos taurus chromosome 20, whole genome shotgun sequence.
UCCCUUGUGGCUCAGCUGGUAAAGAAUCUGCCUGCAAUGCGGGAGACCUGGGUUCAAUCCCUGGUUUGGGAA